AAUCGACGACUCAGCUGCACCAUAAGCACCCACACGAAUUGCUUGAUUCAUUGAAGAAGACGAUUAGAAGCAGCUUUAAGCUCCAAGCUGAUAGCUCAACGCUAGCGGCUACAAGCUCGAAAUUGGGUCUGUAGCUCAGUUGGUUAGAGCGCACCCCUGAUAAGGGUGAGGUCGGCAGUUCGAAUCUGCCCAGACCCACCAAUUUUGUGUGGGAAACGCCUGUAGAAAUACGGGGCCAUAGCUCAGCUGGGAGAGCGCCUGCCUUGCACGCAGGAGGUCAGCGGUUCGAUCCCGCUUGGCUCCACCACUUACUGCUUCUGUUUGAAAGCUUAGAAAUGAGCAUUCCACCCCGCAAGAGAAGGGUGCCUGAAUGUUGAUUUCUAGUCUUUGAUUAGAUCGUUCUUUAAAAAUUUGGGUAUGUGAUAGAAAGAAAUAUAGACCGGGCACCUCUUUCACUGGUGUGUGUCCGGGCUAAGGUAAAGUUUGUGAAAUGCAAACUUUCGGCCAAUGUCGUCUUCACAGUAUAACCAGAUUGCUUGGGGUUAUAU
rnacentral:tRNA from 1 species